rnacentral:rRNA from 1 species
AACGAACGCUGGCGGCAUGCCUAACACAUGCAAGUCGAACGAAGCCUUCGGGCUUAGUGGCGCACGGGUGCGUAACGCGUGGGAAUCUGCCCUUGGGUUCGGAAUAACAGUUAGAAAUGACUGCUAAUACCGGAUGAUGUCUUCGGACCAAAGAUUUAUCGCCCAAGGAUGAGCCCGCGUAGGAUUAGGUAGUUGUUGGGGUAAUGGCCCACCAAGCCGACGAUCCUUAGCUGGUCCGAGAGGAUGAUCAGCCACACUGGGACUGAGACACGGCCCAGACUCCUACGGGAGGCAGCAGUGGGGAAUAUUGGACAAUGGGCAAAAGCCUGAUCCAGCAAUGCCGCGUGAGUGAUGAAGGCCUUAGGGUUGUAAAGCUCUUUUACCAGGGAUGAUAAUGACAGUACCUGGAGAAUAAGCUCCGGCUAACUCCGUGCCAGCCGCCGCAGUAAGAC